rnacentral:sRNA from 1 species
UCCGGGGAUAGGGUCGCUCCUGAAAAGCGGGAUUCCCUGUCCCGCCUUCCCCGGAUUUUCCAAACAGGG